AUAUUUGCAUUACGUAGCCUGGCUACUUGGAUCACAUUUGAGAAUUUGAAAGAAAAGUAAGUGUGCAUAAACUAACGUUUAUAUUGAAAUUUAAAAAUAUCUUUUUUACGUAAAAUAUUAGUUGAAAGAUUACGUAUUAAGUAUUUUUUAACCUAAACUAUGCAACAUUUUAUAUUAAUUAUUGACGUAAAAGAAAUAACUUAACCUAACUUAACCUAGUAUUAAUAAAUGACCUAGUGUUAAUAAAAAAACGAACAAGAUUGAAAUAAAUAUAAUUAUAUAUAAUAGCAGGUCAACAUGCCACAAAGAUGCAUAAUAGAUAAGUGUGUAAAUGUGCAAAAGAAAAAUUGUGGAAUUUCUUUCUUUAAAUUCCCAUUGAAUGAUACAAUUUUAUUAAAAAAAUGGACGACAGCUAUACACAAAACACACUGUUCUAUAACUGCAUUUAACAUACCUAAUUUGUGAACGGCACUUCAAGAAAGAAUUUCUUUCUGGACUAAAACGAAAAAGAUUAAAAAUAAAUGCAGUACCAACGGAAUUUUUACAAGUAGAUCCAUUGGAAGAACUAAAUGCUCUAAUAAAUUUAUACGGACAAGUCAAGACUGGUUGCAGAGAUGAAAUAGCUGUAAGAGAAGACGCAAGUUCCAGCAUUGCACCUGAUAUGCACAUUGCGUCUAACCCUGCAGAAG